rnacentral:misc_RNA from 1 species
UUGAGCUUCAGGAUUAGAAUAAACAGUUCUAUUAGUUACAACGCGAAACAUUCCUGGAAGCGAAAUACCUGCUCCACUUCCCAUUGUAACGCCGUCCAAAAUAGCCACAUUUGGCUUGAGAUAGGUUCCUAACAGGUAAACGAAUUUAUACAAUGUCUGGAAGAACUUCUUGCAUUCCUCAACCUUCCCUUCAUUAAUCAACUCAUAAAGUGUGACGACGUCUGCUCCGGAGCAGAAUGCCCUGCCAUUACUCUUCAUCAUUACAAAUCCAAUAUCUGAGUUUUCCUCCCAAG